CAAACUUAUAUUCUUAGUUAAAGAAUCUGUUUAAAGAACGAGAAGAAAAAAAAGCAGGAAAGAUCGACAAUGCGGCAGCAGCAGCAGCAACUCAGACUGACUCUUUCUCACAUCAAGACCAAACCUACACACCUAAAGCCGUGAGAACUCCUGUGGACAGGUGGAGCUGGCAGCUGAGCUCUGGUCUGAUGCCUGUGUACGAGGAGGACGAGGAGAGCGAUGAGCUGCCGGGAGCAGAGGAGGAAGAGCCGGGAGCGGAGGAGGAAGAGCCGGGAGCAGAGGAGGAAGAGCCGGGAGCAGAGGAGGAAGAGCCGGGAGCAGAGGAGGAAGAGCCGGGAGCAGAGGAGGAAGAGCCGGGAGCGGAGGAGGAAGAGCCGGGAGCGGAGGAGGAAGAGCCGGGAGCAGAGGAGGAAGAGCCGGGAGCGGAGGAGGAAGAGCCGGGAGCAGAGGAGGAAGAGCCGGGAGCAGAGGAAAGCCUCCACAACCAGAGACCCGAGAUUCAAGGUUCAAGCAGCGGAUCCAGCAUCUAGACGCCACUGGAGAACGAGCGUCUCAGUCUAGUAAUGCUGACCUGGGCUCAGAUGAGUUGGACCUGCAGUGGGAGCCUCGCUUCCUCUGUCCUGAUGGAGUGUUUCUGGCCCAACGUGUCGAGGCCUGCAGCCCCGAUGGCGAUGACGACAAAUGAAGCCUCCUGCACUGGACUGGAACUGGACCGUUGUAUUGCACGGCUGCAGUGUGGUGUGACACCUUCUUGGUGUGAUGCGAGCAUUGUAUGUUUUAUAGCGCAGUUUAAGAGUGAUUAAAAGUCCAACAGCAGCAUUUUAUUAUUGCCAAUAAAGUUCAACAAGCUUACA
rnacentral:lncRNA from 1 species